rnacentral:rRNA from 1 species
GACGAACGCUGGCGGCGUGCUUAACACAUGCAAGUCGAACGAUGAACCCGGAGCUUGCUCUGGGGGAUUAGUGGCGAACGGGUGAGUAACACGUGAGUAACCUGCCCUGGACUCUGGGAUAAGCGUUGGAAACGACGUCUAAUACCGGAUAGGACCUUGGAUCGCAUGAUCUGGGGUGGAAAGUUUUUUCGGUCUGGGAUGGACUCGCGGCCUAUCAGCUUGCUGGUGAGGUAAUGGCUCACCAAGGCGUCGACGGGUAGCCGGCCUGAGAGGGUGACCGGCCACACUGGGACUGAGACACGGCCCAGACUCCUACGGGAGGCAGCAGUGGGGAAUAUUGCACAAUGGGCGAAAGCCUGAUGCAGCAACGCCGCGUGCGGGAUGACGGCCUUCGGGUUGUAAACCGCUUUUAGUAGGGAAGAAGGGCUUCGGCUUGACGGUACCUGCAGAAAAAGGACCGGCUAACUACGUG